AUUUAUUUCGGACCAGUUAACAAAACUCAAGCCCAGACCCUUUCAGUUAAGAUUUUACGUUUCGAACCACAAUCCAAAAACCUCAGUCUAAGUGGGUUAUAGGAUAGCUAGUGAUAACGUAAUUUAUCUUUUUAUUUUGCUUUUUUGUUUAUAACGUAAUUUAUUAGCUAAAUGUAUGGAGUGCGAGAGUGUGCGCCGUGUGUAUAGGAUGCAUGGGGUUAGGCUAAACUAAAGGAAUUAAAAUUUUGACGGCAUAUUUACGGUAAAAAGAAAAUAUAUUUUUCUGAACAAAAGGACUAAUUUACUAACGUCAGCAAAAUUUGUUCCGAAAAUUAUUGUCUGCUAUAGUAAAGUAUAUAGAAGGAAAAUUCGGAUUUCGUAUAUCUUUCUAUAUAAAUUGCAUGUAUAUUAAGAGCAAGUAACAAACUCACCUGUUUGUAUACGCGGUCUUUCUCAAUUUAUCUGUUUACGUUUGGCUAUAAAAUAUCCGAUUAAUUAAAUUAAUUAUGUAUACUUUACCAAAAUUUUAUUUCCUUCAGUUUUACGGGUGGGCAGUUCGGGCUGGUGGCAGAUUGGGCAGUUGUGAGUGUCUGUGUGAUGGUGAGGAAAGCGGAAGUUACGAAUGGAAUGCAGGUAGCUCAGGACCAAGGCAGACAGCUUAGGACUGAGGCAGACAGCUUAGGAUUGAGGCAGAUAGGCAGUUGGUAGGAAUCAGUGGGGGGCACUUGUCAUUUCGGCCAUGGGAUUCAAAAUUUGCAUGUCGAGUAUUUGUUACUAAUGCUUGUUGUUUUACAUUUGUCAGGUAUGCGCGUGGCUGCUCUCAAGAGAAGAUCGACUUAGCAAUUUGCAUUAUUUUGCAUUUGCAAGGUUGGUCUUCUCUUCGUCUAGCUACCCCGGCUGGCUCUCCGAGUGCUACCUCUACUUUCAGUAGAAGCACUUCUACUAUAUAGUAGAAGUACUUCUGCUUGAAGUAGAGGUAGUACUUGGGGAGCCGGCCGGGGUAGGGGGAUUUUUUUUAUUUUUUUUUUCAAUUCCCAUGGGAAUUGAAUUUUUAAUUAAAAAGGAGUCUUUUGUAUAAUUA